rnacentral:rRNA from 1 species
GACGAACGCUGGCGGCGUGCUUAACACAUGCAAGUCGAACGGAAAGGCCCUGCUUGCAGGGUACUCGAGUGGCGAACGGGUGAGUAACACGUGGGUGAUCUGCCCUGCACUUCGGGAUAAGCCUGGGAAACUGGGUCUAAUACCGGAUAGGAGCCAUUUUUAGUGUGAUGGUUGGAAAGUUUUUUCGGUGUAGGAUGAGCUCGCGGCCUAUCAGCUUGUUGGUGGGGUAAUGGCCUACCAAGGCGGCGACGGGUAGCCGGCCUGAGAGGGUGGACGGCCACAGUGGGAAUGAGAUACGGCCCAUACUCCCACGGGAGGAAGCAGUGGGGAAUAUUGCACAAUGGGCGCAAGCCGGAUGCAGCGACGCCGCGUGGGGGAGGACGGCCUUCGGGUUGUAAACGCCUUUCGCUAGGGACGAAGCUUUUUGUGACGGUACCUAGAAAAGAAGCACCGGCUAACUACGUG